rnacentral:rRNA from 1 species
UACGGAAGGCAGCGGUGGGGAAUAUUGCACAAUGGGCGCAAGCCUGAUGCAGCCAUGCCGCGUGUAUGAAGAAGGCCUUCGGGUUGUAAAGUACUUUCAGUCGUGAGGAAGGUGUUAAGGUUAAUAACCUUAGCAAUUGACGUUAGCGACAGAAGAAGCACCGGCUAACUCCGUGCCAGCAGCCGCGGUAAUACGGAGGGUGCGAGCGUUAAUCGGAAUUACUGGGCUAAAGGGCACGCAGGCGGUUAAUUAAGUUGGAUGUGAAUCCCCGGGCUUAACCUGGGAAUGGCAUUCAAGACUGGUUAGCUAGAGUCUUGUAGAGGGGGUAGAAUUCCAUAUGUAGCGGUGAAAUGCGUAGAGAUGUGGAGGAAUACCGGUGGCGAAGGCGGCCCCUGGACAAAGACUGACGCUCAUGUGCGAAAGCGUGGGGAGCAAACAGGGAUUAGAUACC